UAAACUACGUCGCCCGCGGAGAGAGAGAGAACUAAGUUAGGGGUUUUUUUAGUGUAUAAACCAAGACACGGAUGUUCCUCGACUUCAUUCUCUUUUGCUUACGACAACGAGCCUACAACCAGACCUCGUGGUGAGUCUCCGGAACAACAGUUCACCCUCCUAAUCUUCCAUUACCCUCCACUACGGCUCACCUAGCUACUGUCAACACGGAACAAAGGGGAGGAGUGUCUGCGAAGUCUUGCUGUAAAGUCGUACCGUAGCCACCUCCUCUCCUAGUGACAGCAAGCGGACCAACGCCCUUGUCCGACUCGGAAAUCCAUCCGGUCUUCCGCCCAUUGGAGACGGUGUUCGUACUAGGGAGGAACGAUCGCCAGAGUCGCUGCCGAAGCAGCGGCAUACCUUGGGUGGCGGCGGCGGUGCCGGUGGUGACGCAGGCUCUCCUUGCCGUGUGGUUGAGUGUUGUCCUGAAGGAGCCGACCAAAUGAGAGAAAAAAAGAGGCCAAAGUACGAAACGUGUGGUACAAACCACAGUGAACCUAAAACCAACUCGACAACGCGACUUGGCGCCUAGAGUAGGUCUAAUAAAGUCGAACCUAAAACAGAAGGAAAGAUGGAGGAUAAAGUGAAAACCAAUCAAGAAGAACGAAGACGACGAGAAAACGUCAAAACCGACCAACGAUCCACAAACAAGGAACCUGAGAUCGAUAGAGUAAAAAGAAGGAGAAAGAGGAAAACAAAAAGAAAAGAACCAAUCUGACUUAACAAAUACCUGACAAAACGUCUAUGACUAAAACCACAGUCGAGUUCCAUUUUCCGUUUCCGACUUCCAAUAACAGUUACCUUCGUCGAGCAUUUAUACUUAAGUCUCCUUCGUGGAAUAUUUAUGCCUGUUACGCCAAUGAUAAAGAGAUACAUGAGUGAAAAGAACGUAAAAGCAAAAUAAACGAACCUACGUCCCCGACUGACGAAACACAUGGUACGUGUAUCGUCUCAUCGUUGACUCAAUGUAUAUGACUCUCGUGCUACUUAUUACUUAUUAGUCAUAGAUAACCAACGUACCUGCGGUCCCAGGCCGCACAAAGUCAGGUUUAUAUAGGUGACUUGUUAACAAACCUACGUCUGAUAAAAACAAAGGACAUCACAGUUAAGUUUAUCUGCAGUUCUUAUCACGGUUUCUACCAAUUUCCGAUCGUACGGUCAUAACAUUAAAUCAACCUACCUGGAUCUGUAGCCCGUGGUAACGACUUAGUACUUUUUGUAUUCACUAAAAUUAAAAGAUCCAACAACCAGCCGUAUGGUAUGGGAUUAAUCUAGUAGGUAAAAUACCAGUCAAACGAACCAACAUACAGCCGUCUCGGGAUUAUACUAGUAAACAAAAGACGAGCGGUGCCUACUAAAUAAGGACAAAAAUAAGCUCACGCAGCAACCAGAUUGAAGAUUGAUCGUAUACUCUUAAAAUAGGUUUGUUGUAUUUAGCUCUUAAAUAGAACGGUCUUGAAGAAUAACAACACACGUAGAAGAACUUAUGUAGAAAAAUUCCAGUAGGACUAAAAAGAAGGUCAACAAAUGUCCAGUGGGAAAACAACUAACAACAACCCAAGGGUUCGGUAAUCUUUUCUCACUACGGAGUUAGUUCCAUCUAGGCUCCUAUCUUGGAUCCCACCGAUGGUAGCUACCACGAUCGGUCGUUCGAGGAUCCUGUGUCGACACCGAUUCUUUUCCUGUACAACUUCGUCGUGGUAGGUAACAGCACGAGGAGCCGUAACUCUUCUUCAGUGAGGGCUCAGCAGAUACAUGGUGGAGGUCUAUAUGGUCUACAAAGAUGACAAGAGGAACGGGGAAUUAGGUACCAGAAACAUGAUGUAGUAAUCAAAAUUAAUAACUCCGUGUUCUUAUUGAACAUACAGUACGUAUGAAAAAACUAUCGUCCAAUAAUUUACGCCUAUCUUAUUGAACACGUGAAGAACGACGGACAUAGGGACAGAGACAAGAAUCGUCUAUACGACUUCUCACAUAAGGAGAGCAGCGAAACGUCCCGUACAGUUCUUGACCAUCGGUUCCUAGAGGUACCUUGACUCACCGUAAAGAACUACUAAAAUGUUAAACUCGUAAGUCAAACUUCGGGGAAAUUUAAAGGUCAGCAAAACAAGAAUAUCAAAGCCACAUCGUGAAGUACAGUGUUAACUUAUGACUUUAGUAAUGAAGUACUCAUACACACCGGAGAGAGGGAAAAAGACUAAGAUAUAGUACGGAAGGUCACAAAACACAAAGUCUACGG
rnacentral:rRNA from 1 species